UCGCGAAUAGCUCAUUACAACAGCCAUAGUUUACUAGAUAGUUCUAUACUACAUGGAUAACUGUGGUAAUUCUAGAGCUAAUACAUGCAACAAACGGCACCCUCAUGGGUGCCGCGCUUUUAUUAGAACAAAACCAAUCGCUUCAGCGCUUCGGCGUCGUUGCGUUAUUUGGUGAGUCUGAAUAACUUGGCAGAUCGCACGGUCUUCGUACCGGCGACGAAUCUUUCAAAUGUCUGCCUUAUCAACUUUCGAGGGUAAUUUAACAUGCCUACCAUGGUGAUAACGGGUAACAGAGAAUAAGGGUUUGACUCUGGAGAGGCAGCCUGAGAGACGGCUACCACAUCCAAGGAAGGCAGCAGGC
rnacentral:rRNA from 1 species